rnacentral:rRNA from 1 species
UACGUAGGGGGCAAGCGUUGUCCGGAAUCAUUGGGCGUAAAGAGCGUGUAGGCGGCCCGAUAAGUCCGCUGUGAAAUCCCAGGGCUCAACCCUGGAACUGCAUUCGAUACUGCGUCGCUGGAGGACUGGAGAGGAGACUGGAAUUCACGGUGUAGCAGUGAAAUGCGUAGAUAUCAGGAGGAACACCGGUGGCGAAGGCGGAUCUCUGGGCCAUUACUGACGCUGAGGAGCGAAAGCCGUGGGGAGCGAACAGG